AACUACUGGAAACGGUAGCUAAUACCGCAUAACGUCGCAAGACCAAAGAGGGGGACCUUCGGGCCUCUUGCCAUCGGAUGUGCCCAGAUGGGAUUAGCUAGUAGGUGGGGUAACGGCUCACCUAGGCGACGAUCCCUAGCUGGUCUGAGAGGAUGACCAGCCACACUGGAACUGAGACACGGUCCAGACUCCUACGGGAGGCAGCAGUGGGGAAUAUUGCACAAUGGGCGCAAGCCUGAUGCAGCCAUGC
rnacentral:rRNA from 1 species